rnacentral:rRNA from 1 species
AGUGAACGCUGGCGGUAGGCCUAACACAUGCAAGUCGAACGGCAGCACGGUAAGAGCUUGCUCUUACGGGUGGCGAGUGGCGGACGGGUGAGGAAUACAUCGGAAUCUACUUUUUCGUGGGGGAUAACGUAGGGAAACUUACGCUAAUACCGCAUACGACCUACGGGUGAAAGCAGGGGAUCUUCGGACCUUGCGCGAUUGAAUGAGCCGAUGUCGGAUUAGCUAGUUGGCGGGGUAAAGGCCCACCAAGGCGACGAUCCGUAGCUGGUCUGAGAGGAUGAACAGGCCAACUUGGACCUGAGACAGGGCCCAGCCCCCUAGGGGAGGCACAGGUGGGGAAUUUUGGCCAAUGGGGGCAAGCCUGACCAAGCCAUCCCGGGUGGGUGAAGAAGGCUUUCGGGUUGUAAAGCCCUUUUGUUGGGAAAGAAAAGCGGCAGGUUAAUCCCCGGCUGUUCUGACGGUACCAAAAGAAUAAGAACCGCUUACUUUCUU